AGUAUGUUCUCUUAAUCCCUUAUAUAUUAGAUCUUAUUUGAACUCCAAAUACUGAAUAUGUGGUACAGGUGGCAUGCUGUCGCAUCAUGGACAUGGGAUGCCCAAGAUGAAACCUGUGGGAUUUGUAGGAUGGCAUUUGAUGGUUGUUGUCCUGAUUGUAAACUCCCUGGAGAUGAUUGCCCACUAAUUUGGGGUGCUUGCAACCAUGCAUUCCAUCUCCAUUGCAUCUUGAAAUGGGUGAAUUCGCAGACUCCUCAAGCGCAUUGCCCCAUGUGCCGUAGGGAAUGGCAGUUCAAAGGAUGAAAUAUGCAAGUUGUAUGAAUUCUUGGUCUAUAUCUCUAUGUCUCAGAAGUGUAUUAGUUGAUAUUAGAUGGGCAACACUUUACCUGGAAAGUUAGAGGUUUCAGUCAUAUAUUUAGCUUUGUAUAUGGCACAAAAACCCCCUUUACUAAUUUGAUUAACUAUUAUAAUCCUUUACCAGAUAAUAAUGAUGAUUAGUGAUCA